UUGCCGAGCAACGAUUGGUUCAGAGAUGAGUGUUUUUCGCGUCUGCCAUUUUGCGAUCAGUAAACAUCUAUUCGGCGUGUAGUUUGACAAUUUUGUGAAAUAAUGUGCCAUCCUGCAUAUUAUUCUGUGUAGUAUAUGUGUGUACAUCGUGGGACAACUAGAUCUAGUAUCAUUACCACAUUAAAAAGUUCUAUUGAAGAAAAUUAAUAUAUUUCGAUCAAAGUGAAUAAUACACCAACAAUAUGAUGGAGAUUGAUCCACCGCACUUUUCUAAUAAGGACGAAGAAAUUCAAUAUUGGAUGGAGCUUGCAAAUCAAUUACAUCAGCGCAAAGAGGACACAGAGAGAGAAUUGGAAGAAUUUCAAGAGAAUUCACAAAUGUUAGAGAAGGAACUCGAAACCUCAUUAGAACAGUCUGAAAAGGCAAACAGAGAAUUGCGACAGAGAAAUACACGCCUUGCUACCGAGAUAGAACAGCUAAGAACUCGGUUAGAUCAGCAAACAAUUGAUUGCGCUGCAUUCCAGGCACAGGCACAUGAUCUUCAAGGUAGACAAGAUCAGCUGGUCAAAUAUAUACGAGAAUUAGAACAGAAAAACGAUGACUUAGAAAGAGCACAAAGAGUAAAUAUGGUAACGGAAGAGGAGAUGGAGGCAAAGUGCAAUUUAGCUAUUGAACGAAAUGCUUUAUUGGAAUCUGAGUUAGAUGAAAAAGAGGGUUUGAAAGUCAUGGUACAACGGCUUAUGGAUGAAAUUAGAGACUUGAAGCAAGAAAUUCAAGUGCAGGAACGACAUCAACCUGACAAUGACAAAUCCGUGGACAGAGUGCGUAGCAUUGUAGAUAGCAACAAGCUUCAGGUAGAGCUGGAGGCAAUCCCGCCUAGUAGCAGUCCUUCUACUCCACAAACGAUACCUCCUCCAACACAUGCGACAACUUCGCCCUUAAAGAUUGGAAAUGGCGUAAUCGGAGCUAUGAUUGGUAACAACAAUAACAACAACAAUAUCAAUCCACCACUGACACCUUGCACAAGGAUACUUGCCAUGAAUAUGAUUGGGGAUCUUAUGCGGAAAGUUGGGGCCCUGGAAAGUAAGCUGAACACAUGCCGCAACUCAACUCGAGAGGAUCAAGCAGUGCGGGAUCACUACAGGACUAGACGGCAGGUGCGAACCCCCGCCUCUGGAAACAACAACCACAUGCGUUUGUAAGAGAUCGAUAGAGUUAACAGCCAUACCUUAACGAAAUGAUAGUGCUUCUUUCCAAAGCAGAUUCAUGGUCUAUCUAUAUAUUUGAUGAGGAUCGAGCAUUGGAAGGAACGCAUAAUAUGGAACGAAUGGUUGAAUUUUUUAACUUCAUCAAGAGGAAAGGUCCGUACCCUUUUGUAAAUACAAUUUAUUCAUAGAUAUCUUGCAAUUUGUAAUAUAAAUUAUUCUAGUUUCAAUUAUAGCACCUUUGUAGAUAUUUAUCGAAAAAAAAACUUUAAUAAACAAUUUAUCGUGAUUCCCCAAUUGUUGAAACAUAUUUCAACAAAUAAAAUUGGGCUUAAUAGGCCGCUAUGCGGCAGUUGAAUUUUAUGCAGCUGCAAAUUCUGAUUAAUUUGAGAAAGACAUUAUUUGUUAGGCAAGUUCUCAUGAUAUAUUUUUUAUCUAGAUAUUGUUUGGAUAUUUUAAUGCAAGACAUACGUAGUUUCAACAAUGAUAUGAAAUGAUAAAUUAUCUGAUAAUAUUUCUGUUCUAUGGUUCUUUUCUUUUCAAUUUUCUGAAAACCUUUUCCAAACAGGUUUGAGUGAGCUUUAUAAAAUAGAUACCAUCCUUACAAAUAACUUAUAUUAUAUCAAUGUAUUUUCGAGUAGAACAUCAUAGAGUUACCAUGAUUGGUAUAGUGAUAAAAAAUAUUGACUGUAUACUCUGUUCAAGCCAGAACUUCUCUUCAUAAGAUGUUUUUUUAUUCGUAUGCCAACUAAAUGGUUAUUUUAUUUAUUAAUCCAGUGAAAUUAUUGUUCAAUUCUUGUUAAAAUUGUCAUUUAUAUUUGAAGCUAUGCUUGUGUUGUCUCAGGUCUUGAACAGAACUAUAAUUUUUUCUGAUAUGAAUCAGUGAAAUAAAUGUGGUGAUUGAAAAAUUAUACCAUUUUCAU
rnacentral:misc_RNA from 1 species